CAAUAGCGUAUAUUUAAGUUGUUGCAGUUAAAAAGCUCGUAGUUGGAUUUCGGUUAAGAGCGACCGGUCCGCCGUUUGGUGUGCACUGGUUGGUUUUAACUUCCUGUAGAGGACGUGCUCUGGGUUUAACGACCUGGACUCGGAGUCUACGUGGUUACCUUGAAAAAAUUAGAGUGUUCAAAGCGGGCUUACGCUUGAAUAUUUCAGCAUGGAAUAACACUAUAGGACUCCUGUCCUAUUUCGUUGGUCUCGGGACGGGAGUAAUGAUUAAGAGGAACAGUUGGGGGCAUUCGUAUUUCAUUGUCAGAGGUGAAAUUCUUGGAUUUAUGAAAGACGAACUUCUGCGAAAGCAUUUGCCAAGGAUGUUUUCAUUAA
rnacentral:rRNA from 1 species